UUCACAGAUGCGCCCAAUUGCAAUGGCGCCAGCUGUAGCACCACGUAUGCCAAUGUAUCCACCUGGUGGGCCAGGUUUAGGUCAACAGAUAUUCUAUGGUCAAGCUCAGCCUACAUUCAUUCCUCCACAGGUAAUAACUUCAGUUAAUAAAAAUUAUUCUUUUUAUUAUAAUCAUGUUUCAAGAUUUUUCAUGGUGUUGAAUAUUUUGUUCUUGUAAAGAUCUUUUCAAAACUAAACAUUUUUUUUUGUUUUUUUAAUUUUUAAAUCAUGUACAGCCUGGAUUUGGGUAUCAACAGCAACUUGUGCCAGGUAUGCGUCCAGGUGGCGCCCCAAUGCCAAACUUCUUCAUGCCAAUGGUGCAGCAAGGUCAACAAGGUCAACGCCCAGGUGGCAGGCGCGCUACUGGUCCAGGUCAGCAAAAC
rnacentral:lncRNA from 1 species